rnacentral:lncRNA from 1 species
CUUAAAUAGAUAAGGGGGGAAUGAACGGACAGUAUGUACAGGGGGGCAGUGGCAGGGCCCAGGUGCCCUCCGCCCACAGCCUCACGCCUGCCGCCCGGGGUCAGUGAGGCCGGCUGCUGGACUCUGAGGGCUGCCGCUGGCGGGGGGGAGUGUAGCCGUUCAGGUAGCCAUUGCUCUGGCGUUUGCUGAGUCCUCCGUUAAGAAUGUCCUGGAUGUGCUGCACGAUCAGGUUGAUGGCCACUUCAUUAUCUGCUCCUCUGGGAAUGAUCACGUCAGCAUACUUCUUGGUUGGCAAACAGAACUCCUCGAAGGCGGGCUUCACAAAAGUGAUGUACUGUGACAAGAUCUGCUCAAGGUCC